rnacentral:rRNA from 1 species
UACGUAGGGUGCGAGCGUUAAUCGGAAUUACUGGGCGUAAAGCGUGCGCAGGCGGUGAUGUAGAGACAGAUGUAGAAACGUCCCGGGCUCAACCGUGGGAACUGCUAUUUGUGACUGCAUCGCUGGAGUGCGGCAGGAGGGGGAUGGAAUUCCGCGUGUAGCAGUGAAAUGCGUAGAUAUGCGGAGGAACACCGAUGGCGAAGGCAACUCCCCGUGGGCCUGCACUGACGCUCAUGCACGAAAGCGUGGGGAGCAAACAGGA